rnacentral:lncRNA from 1 species
CGAUGGGUAGGCUUGUUUUUAGCACAAAUUCUCUCAAAUCAGAGUGUCAUUGAAGAUAGUGCAAUUCUUUUUCAAUUACUAAACAUCAUUACCUUCUCUUUAAAAUAGUUACAGCACAAAGUUUUUGGAUACAUGGAUAUAUGUGCUGUAUUAUUAACCCUUUUGUUGAUUCAUUUUUUUUCAACACCAAUUUGAAUUUAUUUUUUGCUUCUUUAUGUCAAAAAUAAUGUUUUUGUUAAUUCUUGCAUAGUCCCCUUGCAAUACACUUGCACCACUUAGUGGGCUGUGCCCCAUAGUUUGAAGAACACUGGAUUAAAGGAAUAUUCUGAAUUCAUUAACUCCCAGCUACUGACUAAUGAGGCCAAUUACUAUUUGACAGGAUUCAUAAAUAAACAGAAUUUUAGAUACUGGGCACCAAAUAAUUCUCAAAAAGCACAUGAAAGACUGGGUAUAUAGUGAAAAAUUUUUUAUUUAAUGCAGUUUAAGGAUGAUGGGAGUAAUUGGUCCAUAUUUUUUUUGAAAUGGACAGUGGCCAAUCAAUCAUUGUGAAUAGGGAACACUACUCACAAAGUGAUUUUGUCAUUUCUUCUACUCUACACUGCAAAAAUGUCAGUACCAACUGGAAAAUCUUUGAUACUAGCAAGAUAGGGACAUGGCACACCCAUGCUAAUUUAGCAUAGAAACAUUGAGGGAAUUCUUCCCAAGUCACAUCAUUUUUGAUGACAUUCCUGGCACUCGAGAUCACCAGAUUUGACUCUCCUGGAUUCUUUUUCUGGAGCAAUUUAAAACAAAGUGUGUUUUCAACUAGAGUGAGAAGUGUUAAAGAACAGAAGGCUAAAAUCAUACAAGAAAUUGCAAAUUUCACUCAUGAGAUUAUUGUGAUUGAUCAUAUUAUGUGGUCUCCAAGACAAUCUGUGCAAUAUAUCACUAACAAUGAUAUGCACUUGAAGGACAUAAUUUUCACAAAUAAUAUAAAUCCAAAAGUGUAAGAAUGAUAAAAUAAAAUAGACUCCCGUACAAUGCAGAGAUAUGUUCUACAUUAUAGGAAAUCAUGUUAUAUGAGACAUACAUUAUCAGAUGAUUUUAUGUAAAUUUAAACUUGUCUGUGAGUUCCAGCACUGAUCACAU